UAAGGAAUAUUGGUCAAUGGACGCAAGUCUGAACCAGCCAUGCCGCGUGAAGGAUGAAGGUCCUCUGGAUUGUAAACUUCUUUUAUCUGGGACGAAAACGGGAUUUUUAUCUCAAUUGACGGUACCAGAGGAAUAAGCACCGGCUAACUCCGUGCCAGCAGCCGCGGUAAUACGGAGGGUGCGAGCGUUAUCCGGAUUUACUGGGUUUAAAGGGUGCGUAGGUGGGCUUAUAAGUCAGUGGUGAAAUCUCCGAGCUUAACUUGGAAACUGCCGUUGAUACUAUAGGUCUUGAAUUAUCUGGAGGUAAGCGGAAUAUGUCAUGUAGCGGUGAAAUGCUUAGAUAUGACAUAGAACACCAAUUGCGAAGGCAGCUUACUACAUAUAAAUUGACACUGAGGCACGAAAGCGUGGGGAUCAAACA
rnacentral:rRNA from 1 species